UACGUAGGGUGCGAGCGUUAAUCGGAAUUACUGGGCGUAAAGCGUGCGCAGGCGGUUUUGUAAGUCAGAUGUGAAAUCCCCGGGCUUAACCUGGGAACUGCAUUUGAAACUACAAGGCUAGAGUGUGGCAGAGGGGGGUGGAAUUCCACGUGUAGCAGUGAAAUGCGUAGAGAUGUGGAGGAACACCGAUGGCGAAGGCAGCCCCCUGGGUUAACACUGACGCUCAGGCACGAAAGCGUGGGGAGCAAACAGG
rnacentral:rRNA from 1 species